rnacentral:rRNA from 1 species
GACGAACGCUGGCGGCGUGCCUAAUACAUGCAAGUCGAGCGAAGUUUUUCUGGUGCUUGCACUAGAAAAACUUAGCGGCGAACGGGUGAGUAACACGUAAAGAACCUGCCUCAUAGACUGGGACAACUAUUGGAAACGAUAGCUAAUACCGGAUAACAGUAUUUCUCGCAUGGGAGAUAUUUAAAAGUUGGUUAUGCUAACACUAUGAGAUGGCUUUGCGGUGCAUUAGCUAGUUGGUGGGGUAAAGGCCUACCAAGGCGACGAUGCAUAGCCGACCUGAGAGGGUGAUCGGCCACACUGGGACUGAGACACGGCCCAGACCCCUACGGGAGGCAGCAGUAGGGAAUCUUCCGCAAUGGGCGAAAGCCUGACGGAGCAACGCCGCGUGAGUGAAGAAGGAUUUCGGUUCGUAAAGCUCUGUUGUUAGGGAAGAAUGGAUAUGUAGUAACUA